rnacentral:rRNA from 1 species
GUACGUGGACGUAGACCCGAAACCGUGUGAUCUACCCCUGUCCAGGGUGAAGGUGAGGUAACACUCACUGGAGGCCCGAACCCACGAAUGUUGAAAAAUUCGGGGAUGAGGUGGGGGUAGCGGAGAAAUUCCAAUCGAACUCGGAGAUAGCUGGUUCUCCCCGAAAUAGCUUUAGGGCUAGCCUCGGAUGUUGAGUUGUGGAGGUAAAGCACUGAUUGGGUGCGGGGCCCGCCAAGGGUUACCAAGUCCAGUCAAACUCUGAAUGCCACAAACUUAAAUCCGGGAGUCAGACAGUGAGUGCUAAGAUCCAUUGUCAAAAGGGAAACAGCCCAGACCAUCAGCUAAGGUCCCCAAGUGUGUGUUAAGUGGGAAAGGAUGUGGAGUUGCACAGACAACCAGGAUGUUGGCUUAGAAGCAGCCACCAUUGAAAGAGUGCGUAAUAGCUCACUGGUCGAGUGACUCUGCGCCGAAAAUGUAACGGGGCUAAACACGCCACCGAAGCUAUGGCUUGCACGUAUGUGCAUGGGUAGGGGAGCGUUGUAUGUACGUUGAAUUCUGACCGUAAGGACAGGUGGAGCGCAUACAAGUGAGAAUGCCGGUAUAAGUAACGAAAAGAUCAGUGAGAAUCUGAUCCGCCGAAAACCUAAGGGUUCCUGAGGAAGGCUCGUCCGCUCAGGGUAAGUCGGGACCUAAGGCGAGGCCGAAAGGCGUAGUCGAUGGACAACAGGUGGAAAUUCCUGUACCACCGUAGCCGUUAUGAGCAAUGGAGUGACGCAGAAGGAUAGUGACGCGAGCUGAUGGAUGCUCGUCCAAGCAGUGAGGCUGAUGUGUAGGCAAAUCCGCACAUCGUAAGGCUGGGCUGUGAUGGGGAGGGAAAUUUAAGUACCGAAGGUCAUGAGUUCACACUGCCAAGAAAAGCUUCUAGCCAGGCGAAGGUGCCCGUACCGCAAACCGACACAGGUGGGUGAGAAGAGAAUUCUAAGGCGCGCGGAAGAACUCUCGUUAAGGAACUCGGCAAAAUGACCCCGUAACUUCGGGAGAAGGGGUGCCUCGGUAGGGUGAAUAGCCCGAGGGGGCCGCAGUGAAAAGGCCCAAGCGACUGUUUAGCAAAAACACAGGUCUGUGCGAAGCCGCAAGGCGAAGUAUACGGGCUGACGCCUGCCCGGUGCUGGAAGGUUAAGAGGAGUGGUUAGGGGCAACCCGAAGCUAUGAAUUGAAGCCCCAGUAAACGGCGGCCGUAACUAUAACGGUCCUAAGGUAGCGAAAUUCCUUGUCAGGUAAAUUCUGACCCGCACGAAUGGCGUAACGACUUGGGCGCUGUCUCAACGAGAGAUCCGGUGAAAUUUUAAUACCUGUGAAGAUGCAGGUUACCCGCGACAAGACGGAAAGACCCCAUGGAGCUUUACUGCAGCUUGAUAUUGGACUUUGGUACGAUCUGUACAGGAUAGGUGGGAGCCUUUGAAGCCUGAGCGCCAGCUUGGGUGGAGGCAUCGUUGGGAUACCACCCUGAUCGUAUCGGAGUUCUAACCUAGUACCGUGAUCCGGUAUGGGGACAGUGUCAGGUGGGCAGUUUGACUGGGGCGGUCGCCUCCUAAAAUGUAACGGAGGCGUUUAAAGGUUCCCUCAGAAUGGUUGGAAAUCAUUCGCAGAGUGCAAAGGCAUAAGGGAGCUUGACUGCGAGACCUACAAGUCGAGCAGGGACGAAAGUCGGACUUAGUGAUCCGGUGGUACCGAAUGGAAGGGCCAUCGCUCAACGGAUAAAAGCUACCCUGGGGAUAACAGGCUUAUCUCCCCCAAGAGUCCACAUCGACGGGGAGGUUUGGCACCUCGAUGUCGGCUCAUCGCAUCCUGGGGCUGAAGUAGGUCCCAAGGGUUGGGCUGUUCGCCCAUUAAAGCGGUACGCGAGCUGGGUUCAGAACGUCGUGAGACAGUUCGGUCCCUAUCUGUCGCGGGCGUAGGAAAUUUGAGAGGAGCUGUCCUUAGUACGAGAGGACCGGGAUGGACGUACCGCUGGUGUACCAGUUGUCUCGCCAGAGGCAUCGCUGGGUAGCUAUGUACGGAGGGGAUAAGCGCUGAAAGCAUCUAAGCGCGAAGCCCCCCUCAAGAUGAGAUUUCCCAGUAUGUAAGACCCCUUGUAGACGACGAGGUUGAUAGGUUCGAGGUGGAAG